rnacentral:tRNA from 1 species
GUGGUGGAUUAGAGGCAGAGCGUCUGCUUGGCUUGUAGAAGGUGGCCGGUUCAAUUCCUGCCAUCUCCA